rnacentral:rRNA from 1 species
GAUGAACGCUGGCGGCGUGCCUAACACAUGCAAGUCGAACGAAGCUUGACGAAUGAUUUUUUCGGAAUGAAUUCUGAUAUGACUUAGUGGCGGACGGGUGAGUAACACGUGAGCAACCUGCCUUUCUAGAGGGGGAGUAACGGCUGGAAACGGUCGCUAAUACCGCAUAAGACCACAGCACCGCAUGGUGCAGGGGUAAAAACUACCGGUGGUAUGAGAUGGAUCCGCGUCUGAUUAGCUAGUUGGUAAGGUAACGGCUUACCAAGGCAACGAUCAGUAGCCGACCUGAGAGGGUGACCGGCCACAUUGGGACUGAGACACGGCCCAA